AUUCAAAACUCUUAACUUCAGGAUUUUUAAGGGGGUCUUCUCUCCCUUUGCCUUUCUUUUUCUAUGGCGAUAGUCCGCAAAAAUGACGAUAAUGAAGAGCCCUCGUAUGAAUCUACUGCAAACAACGAUAAUGAGGAGCCCACGUAUAAUUUUGUCGCUGUGUUGAUGUUUUUUGAACGCUGUGGUUUUUAUAUUUCAAUUGCAUGGAUUUUAAUUUAUCUGUUUUCGUUCUUCGAUUGCUCCAGACUAUAUAGCCUUUCCGCUCACUGCAGUAGCGCUAAUGCUGGUGCCGCAUCCUUCAUGCCACAAAUUAACCCAGUUCAAGUUGGCAACCAAGGAAUUUAGAAGUUGACUUUUACUUAAUAAAGUUUUUUUCUCCUCCAGUUUCAGUCUUGAAACAACUGAGACACCACCAACAACCUCGGGUCUGGUUAAUUAUCAGAAUCCUGAUCGCGAACAACUAAUGACACUCCUGCGAUCUGGCCAGUCUGUCGAGGAGCAAUUUCCUGUUGGUAUUUUUCCACUAAUAAUUUUAGAAUUUGUUACCAUUUUUUGUGUUGAUAUGCCUCUGGACUGUUUUAAGGUCUGCAUCUUUUUCUUUGUGCUCAUUAGAGUUUGGAUGUCUUUCUUCUCGACACCUCGAAAGUAUGCACUUUGGUCUCUUGAUGACCUGUCGAUUGAUUCAUGCAUCAAGAUUCAGCUGUCACAAGCUUGGAUUCUUAUCCUUCUCACCGAACAUUGAUUCUUGUUAUGAUGAUCUAUGAUUGUUUUUUUGGACUUUGAUUCUUUUAAGCCUCCCCUCACUAUAAAUAUAAUUUGACAGUUUAUUACUUACUAGCUUUUAGAACAACUUGUAAUGAUUUUGGUUAAAAAAUGUGUAUUACACUAUACUUGCAUGAAUUUAAUUUUUUUUUCUAAUACUUCCCGCUAAUGUUAAUCGAUUUUCAAAUUGAGCAUACCAUUAAGAUUUAUGAUAUCACGCCGUGGCAGUUCAAUAAUAUAUGGCAGCUGUAACUUUUUGUUUUCAGAAUUUAGAUUGGCUGCGGUCAUGACUGUAUUUGCUUCAUUCCUAUACUGACAUUUUCUUCUACGCUUAACAGGUGAUUCGGAUCAUUGAUUCCUAAAUUCUUAAUUGCAGAACUACAUAGCAUAAUAUCACUAGUCUUUGUUAUUUUUGUUGGGCGGUCUUGACUGCUGUUUAAUUACCUCUGCUAUCAAUAUAUUUAUAAAAGUUGCAACUGUGCUAUUGAUAUAUGAUUGACUAUGAUAUCAAACAAUCUGUAUAUAGUAUAAAAGAUAAUCCAGAAUCAUUGUGCACUGAACAGUUCAAAGAGCAUUGCUUGUUCCUCUUGGAGGAGGAAAAAGUUGCCACGCUGGGUGUUAGUAAUUUUAGGCCUCAAUUGACGAGCUAUGUGAAAAAAAAAAAAUCAAGCUGCAAAUUCACUGCAUUUGUUUUUAUCAAAUUGAUAUAAAUUUGAUAUAUGCUUUUUGCCCAUGUUUUUGUUUUGAAAGUUCUCUAUCUUUUUAAGGUUUUCAGUGCUUCAAAGGACAUGUUUAUGCUUCAUAUUAGUUGAUUUCUUUUUAUCAAGAACCAGUUGCUCUUGACCGAUAGGGAGCACCAAUAUUACAGUCAUGUCUUGAAAUAAAAAAUCUGAACUAAAGCAGACACAAGUGAAGAAAAAUACUAAUGGAUAGAGAAUGGUGUUCGAAGCCAAGCAAAGGAGGCGUGCCUCUGCACCAAACGAGGCAAUUGACGGUAGAGAGCUCUAAAGAUUCAUAUUUCAUGCAAAAACACCUGGGCAGGGAAGCAUCACAACACCAAUUUGGCUAUGAGGCUGUAUGAGGCUAAGAGGGCCGUAUAAGCGCAAAGUUAACACUCACAAGACUGGUUUAGGAGAUUCUGAAUAGUUUUCAUGGAUAUCAGUUGACACAUACUGGUCUACAUCGUUUCAUGGACAUUAAAGAAGUAAUACCUAACAAUUCGAAGCUUGUAGUUUGAAAUUUUUUAACAGAAAAUUAAUCUAAAGAAACUCACGGAAGCUGAUGGGGUGGCUGCAUUAUUUCAUUGGAUGGAGGUGUACCUUAGAUCCUGCAUCAUAUUUUAAAGCUAGUCAGUUAUAUGAAUUUGGUUUAUAAUGAGGGGCAGUCAUCUCUAUCCUGUAGCCAUUUAAAUUCAAUGUUGUAGCAUUAGUUGAUUUCCCUUGAGCUCCCUGUUUGUUCACUGUAAAUGAGAUUUUGAGGUGAUAUUUGUGGUCGCAGAUUGUGGAGGCAAAGAUAAUGGUAUGGAGAGGAGAAAGACAACCAAAUGGUUAAGUCUCUACUUUACUAGAUUACAGGUCGUUGAUAGCGUCAAAGAAGAAAUAGUUUAAAAUUGGAAUCAUGUUGGUUGUUGUAUUUUGCAUGAAUAGUCUUUUUAAUAUCCGCACCUAACUGAAUGGUUUGUCGCCUUAGAGAGAAUCAUUGUUGCAGUAUUGAUAUAACCUUCUAGAGAAGGUUUAAUCGAAGAGAAGACUUAUGAGGUUGAUAACGAUUAAUGCUUUAGUUCCGAGAAUGUUCAUUAUGAAAAACAUCACAAGACAAGAAUGAUGAAGACAAACUGUAACAACGUUCAUUAUAAGUAGAUCUCCCUUAUUGGGAGGCUUGAAAGCCAUGAGAGAAUCUGUAACAACGUUCACAGUGGUGGCUAUUUGAAGUAACCCUGAGAACGAGAGCCCCUGGCGCUAUCUUCGUGGUCUCUACAAAGGUGAGAGAGUCUUGGAUUAGCGACCCUCAAGUCUCAUUUGUAUGUCUGAAAGUUUUGAGUGCUAAAAUUAACCAUGUAUUUGCUUUGUGUAUGGCUGUAUGAGCUGAUCCCUCAGUGUACAAGAAUUAGAUGUAAAUUUCUAAUUUCCUUGGAACCCGUAAUUCGAAUAUAUUCAUUCAGGAGGAUGAAUUUCCAGCUA